rnacentral:lncRNA from 1 species
GAAUGUUUCCGCUCUUUCCACUUGACCACUUGCGGAUUUUAGCAUCGAUCUUCUGCAGAGGUUCGUAUUCCGUUUUCUUUUAAUUUUGAGGCUAUUUUCGUGUAAAAGAAUCGAAAAAGUAGUAUAUCUCUUUGCAAUUGCAGUAGUAUUACCUUGAUUUCUUCAGCAUCCUUAUUGGUUUCUUCCAUUUUGUUGUUUUCAUCUUGUGUUAUAUCCUCCACCUGCACAGCUCAUUACAAGUUCCACACCAAUUAUAAAGAGAAACAUACACAUUUUUAGAUUGAAAACCUGAAAAGUUGAAAGGAGCAUUAAGUUACAUCGAAAUUUACAUGGAAGGGCUCAUCUAUAUCCUCUGAGGUAGUAUGUGCUGAUUAGAAAAAAAGAAAAGAAAGAUGUUAUUUAGUUGUGUAGUGGUAACAAGAUUUAAAUCCGAUACACCAAUCCAAGAACUUACUUGUGCUCGGUUCUUGUCUCUCUUCUUGUACAGUAACACCAGGAGCCUUAUAGUUCAUGCUCUCCCGGUCUGAAUCCUUUUUCUGAGUUGCGUGUGAAGGUUUCGAAUCCCGAUUCUGCAACGAUAUUGACAGGUAAGGAAUCACAAACCAAGGAACAUAUAGCAAGAUGUUGAUUUUCAGGUAAAGUACCAUAGCGGGGAUAUCUGGAGUCGAUUUCUUUUGUUGAUCAGGAAUGUUUACAGUAUCUUUGGCAUUAGCAGCAUCAUGAUUGAUAUCAGUCUUGGGAGUUUCUUUAGCUCUCCAUCUAGAGCUUUGU